rnacentral:rRNA from 1 species
CCUACGGGUGGCAGCAGUGGGGAAUAUUGCACAAUGGGCGCAAGCCUGAUGCGGCCAUGCCGCGUGUGUGAAGAAGGCCUUCGGGUUGUAAAGCACUUUCAGCGGGGAGGAAGGCGGUGAGGUUAAUAACCUCAUCGAUUGACGUUACCCGCAGAAGAAGCACCGGCUAACUCCGUGCCAGCAGCCGCGGUAAUACGGAGGGUGCAAGCGUUAAUCGGAAUUACUGGGCGUAAAGCGCACGCAGGCGGUCUGUCAAGUCGGAUGUGAAAUCCCCGGGCUCAACCUGGGAACUGCAUUCGAAACUGGCAGGCUAGAGUCUUGUAGAGGGGGGUAGAAUUCCAGGUGUAGCGGUGAAAUGCGUAGAGAUCUGGAGGAAUACCGGUGGCGAAGGCGGCCCCCUGGACAAAGACUGACGCUCAGGUGCGAAAGCGUGGGGAGCAAACAGGAUUAGAUACCCGUGUAGUC